rnacentral:tRNA from 1 species
GCAGGGGUUCCCGAGCGGCCAAAGGGACCAGACUGUAAAUCUGACGGCGUAGCCUUCGAAGGUUCGAAUCCUUCCCCCUGCACCA